UGCUUAAUUCUGCAAUCAUGCGGUUUUGUUUCAAAUCGCGAGAAUAUAUAAUCGCGAUCACCAACUUUUUGUUAUAAGUUCCUAUAGUUCAAAACUGUCUGAAAUAUAAAAGCGAGAUUUUAAAAUUUACAAGAAUUGCCUCUUGUGAUUUUACGGGGAAAUUAAUUCCUUGCGUUUUAUUAAUAGGAAUCUAAAGUAUAAAUACCCUAAUGGCAGUUGAGGAGCCAUCGCAACUAAUAGGGUGUCGACAUGCUUAUGAAUUCAUGUCAGCUUUAAACAAUUAAAUGCUUUCUUUGGUGAUUCAUGCGGGAUAUAUGAAAGUGGCAAUAUUGCAGGAAAAUAAAUAACCCUCUUACUGGGUUUAUGUAAAAAAAAUUCAUCAUUAUAAAGUUGACUUGUGUUUCUGCAGCACAUAAUUUUUUGAUAAACUUCUUCAUGACCUGAUGUUCUGGAAAAUAAUGGCUGCAGCAUUUCAUUCUAUGAUCUCUGCGAUAACCAUUAUAUGAUAGUUGAAUUAAAACAAUAAGGCAAAGC
rnacentral:misc_RNA from 1 species